rnacentral:miRNA from 1 species
AGAGGUGUAGGGCAUGGGAAAA